GGGUUAAAACCGUUUGUCCGUUCCAGAGGAACCCCUCGGCCCUGGACGGAAUUUGUCCACUGAGAGGAGGUCUCGAGACUCCUUUUGGCUGGGGGAAACCUC